rnacentral:tRNA from 1 species
GCCCAGCUAGCUCAGUUGGUAGAGCAUGAGACUCUUAAUCUCCGGGUCAUGGAAUUGUGCCCCACGUUGGGUG